rnacentral:rRNA from 1 species
UACAGAGGUCUCAAGCGUUGUUCGGAUUCAUUGGGCGUAAAGGGUGCGUAGGCGGCGCGGUAAGUCGGGGGUGAAAGCCCGAGGCUCAACCUCGGAACUGCCUUCGAUACUGCGGGUCUCGAGUCCGGGAGAGGUGAGUGGAAUUCCUAGUGUAGAGGUGAAAUUCGUAGAUAUUAGGAAGAACACCAGUGGCGAAGGCGGCUCACUGGCCCGGUACUGACGCUGAGGCGCGAAAGCGUGGGGAGCAAACAGG